rnacentral:tRNA from 1 species
GGGCCCGUAGCUCAGCCAGGAUAGAGCAGCGGCCUGCGGAGCCGCAGAGGCCCAGCGCUGGGCGCGCGGACGUCCCGGGUUCGAGUCCCGGCGGGCCCG